rnacentral:misc_RNA from 1 species
GAUGAAGAACGUAGCGAAAUGCGAUAAGUAGUGUGAAUUGCAGAAUUCAGUGAAACAUCGAAUCUUUGAACGCACAUUGCGCCCUUUGGUAUUCCUUAGGGCAUGCCUGUUCGAGCGUCAUUUAAACCUUCAAGCUAAGCUUGGUGUUGGGUGACUGUCCGCUUCACGGCGGACUCGCCUCAAAAUUAUUGGCGGCCGGUACAUUGGCUUCGAGCGCAGCAGAAACGCGAACUCGGGCCCGUCGUAUUGGCUCCCAGAAGCUAUCUUCACAAUUUUGACCUCGGAUCAGGUAGGGAUACCCGCUGAACUUAAGCAUAUCAAUAAGCGGAGGA